GUUGACCUCGGAUCAGGUAGGACUACCCGCUGAACUUAAGCAUAUCAAUAAGCGGAGGAAAAGAAACCAACAGGGAUUGCCCCAGUAACGGCGAGCGAAGCGGCAACAGCUCAAAUUUGAAAUCUGGCCCCAGGCCCGAGUUGUAAUUUGCAGAGGAUGCUUUUGGCGCGGUGCCUUCCGAGUUCCCUGGAACGGGACGCCAUAGAGGGUGAGAGCCCCGUACGGUUGGACACCAAGCCUUUGUAAAGCUCCUUCGACGAGUCGAGUAGUUUGGGAAUGCUGCUCUAAAUGGGAGGUACAUUUCUUCUAAAGCUAAAUAUUGGCCAGAGACCGAUAGCGCACAAGUAGAGUGAUCGAAAGAUGAAAAGCACUUUGAAAAGAGGGUUAAACAGCACGUGAAAUUGUUAAAAGGGAAGCGCUUGUGACCAGACUUGCGUCCGGUGAAUCACCCAGCUCUCGCGGCUGGGGCACUUCGCCGGCACAGGCCAGCAUCAGCUUGCCGUCGGGGACAAAAGCUUCAGGAACGUGGCUCCUCUCGGGGAGUGUUAUAGCCUGUUGCAUAAUACCCUUCGGCGGGCUGAGGUACGCGCUCCGCAAGGAUGCUGGCGUAAUGGUCAUCAGCGAC
rnacentral:rRNA from 1 species